CCCAGAAUCUUGGCAAGUGCUGAAGCAGAGAGGCACUGAGCGCCAGCUCCCUGGCUCUGAUGAAAUAAUGUGAAUAGCUUAGGAUGUUUCCAGGCCCCUGGGAAUAAGGUCAUGCAAAGGGCACUGGCUCAGGGGUGAAUCGGAAGGAAGAAAGGAAGGAAGGAAGGAAGGAAGGAAAGAAGGAAGGAAGAGCAGGCUGAGGUCACUGAGCUGCAACAGGACGGUUAGCAGGGCUCACAGAAGGGCCAACUGCAGGAGCUGUACCAAGGCCAAAGGGAAAAAAAUAGUGGCUCAUCCUUUGGAAGAAGUUAGCCAUUCUACAUCCUCUGGGAUCCAGUAAUUGAAUUUCACUGUUGCCGUUACCAUACCCACCAACAAGCACGUCUUCCUGAGCAGAAUCAGUCAAGUGUCCACUGUGCUCAAAGGAUUGGUGUCCAGGGUGGAGAUUAGUCUCAGACCAGGAGGGCCGCGCACAUCUCACACGACUGAGACUGGCUGUCACUUGUGAGCUGAGAGCACAGGAAGCUGUGUGCAGUCAGGUCACCUUGAACAUCAUCCUCAGCUGGCAAACCCUGGGAAUCCUUGCUGAAAAGAAAACUGUGACGUUCCAAAUGGGCUUCCAUCAGAUGACCAGAUGGAGUCACUGCCAAAUAGACACUCCUCGGGGGGACAAAGGUCUGCAUACAGGAAAUUCUGUAACAAGAUAUUGAAAUUCCAUCUAGUAAAUAAACUGAAUAAGUAAAUAAAUAAUAAAAAA